rnacentral:rRNA from 1 species
UACCAGCACCCCGAGUGGUCGGGACGUUUAUUGGGCCUAAAGCAUCCGUAGCCGGUUCUACAAGUCUUCCGUUAAAUCCACCUGCUUAACAGAUGGGCUGCGGAAGAUACUAUAGAGCUAGGAGGCGGGAGAGGCAAGCGGUACUCGAUGGGUAGGGGUAAAAUCCGUUGAUCCAUUGAAGACCACCAGUGGCGAAGGCGGCUUGCCAGAACGCGCUCGACGGUGAGGGAUGAAAGCUAGGGGAGCGAAUGGG